rnacentral:rRNA from 1 species
GACGAACGCUGGCGGCGUGCUUAACACAUGCAAGUCGAACGGAAAGGCCCUGCUUUUGUGGGGUGCUCGAGUGGCGAACGGGUGAGUAACACGUGAGUAACCUGCCCUUGACUUUGGGAUAACUUCAGGAAACUGGGGCUAAUACCGGAUAGGAGCUCCUGCUGCAUGGUGGGGGUUGGAAAGUUUCGGCGGUUGGGGAUGGACUCGCGGCUUAUCAGCUUGUUGGUGGGGUAGUGGCUUACCAAGGCUUUGACGGGUAGCCAGCCUGAGAAGGUGACCGGCCACAUUGGGACUGAGAUACGGCCCAGACUCCUACGGGAGGCAGCAGUGGGGAAUAUUGCACAAUGGGCGGAAGCCUGAUGCAGCAACGCCGCGUGCGGGAUGACGGCCUUCGGGUUGUAAACCGCUUUCGCCUGUGACGAAGCGUGAGUGACGGUAAUGGGUAAAGAAGCACCGGCUAACUACGUG